UGUCACAUUCCAGCACGGUUUCUGGGCUUGUGCACCGGUGGGGGUUGCCGGUAGUCCUUCUAUUUAGAGUCAGGACAGAAAGCUCUUCUGUGGCCCAGAAAUCUUUGAAACUGUAUUUGGAUCUCUCCCAGCUGGUGGCCACUGUGAAUUGUAAUUUGAAAGGAAUCGACCAGAAGCACUUUCUUUCCUUUGCUAGCUGGGGAACUACCCCAAUACCUGCGCAUUAUUCUCUGGAGAGCCUGUGUGAGGUUGCAAUGUUAUGCAAAUCGAACUUAAAAGACACCAAGCGAAGAGGAAAUUGAAAUCAAUAGAGUAAACUCGUAUGAAAUCUAGAACAUUUACCACACCAGGAUCUUAAAAUCUGGGGUUUUAAGGAUGCAUAGGAGCCAAAAUGUAAGAAUGUGACCUGAAGUUGGAAAAAAGAUGUCCAUAUCAAAUAAGUACUGAAAAGAUGAGGAAAAAGAAGUUGAUUUCCAGGAAAGAAAAACGAAUAAUCUGGGGAGCUGAAGAGAUAACUUAUUGGUUAAGAGCAUGUGUUGCUUUUCUGGAGAACUCAGGUUUAAUCUCUAGCACCUAUAUGGUAGGUCACAAGCAUCUAUAACUACAAUCUGAGAAUAUCUAAUUCCCUCUCC
rnacentral:lncRNA from 1 species